AUCACGUUUAGAGACAGAGAGUGCAUAGAAAAAUGUUCUUAUUUAUAUUCCCAUGAAGGUGACCACCGCCUCUUAUCAGCUGAUUUUCAGUUGAACAUUUUCUCAAAGUUUUUUUUUUGUUAUUUUGAGCACCUAAACUAUUGUACAGUAAGACUACAUGGCUGAUUUUCUCAGACGAAAUUUUCUCUUAGCGAAAAAAGUUCUCAAAGUUACCUUGUCCGAAAAUUUACCCAAUAGCAAUGCCCUGGAAAAGCAUUUUUUUAUUAUUUAGAUAAAUUACGAAAAUAUUUUGGGUGCUUUAUCCCCGAGCAAGCGCCGUUCCGGGCGUAAGCCGUGGGCGAGGGUACUAAUUCCACCCGGCUAAUUACACCCGAGGAAAGGAACGCACUAGCGAAGUCUAAAGUUCAUCAAAUAUCGCGGGCGGGAUCAUCACACUGAUCUCAAAAUUUGGCUGUUUGCCAGGAGUGAAGGAGGCAAAAAAUUUAAAAAAAAAACAUGUAAAAAAGCUUGGAAAAUCGUUUCACAUAACAAAUUGUAAAACUAUUUUUCAAUAUUUAGACGAUUUAGUAUCAGAAAUCCUAAAGUAUAAGGCAAGUUUAUUUCAAUUGUUCAUGUAUGACCUUGUAUUAUUAUAGACUUUGUUUUUGUUGCUCAAGUCUUUCCUAUGCAUUGUAUGCGAAAGUUUCCUAGUUAAAUUAACUUUUGUAGAAGUUCAUGAUAAAAAGAAAAGCAAAUUAUUUUCAUUAGCGUCCGGUAUGAAUGAAAUUUAUUUAAUUUCAAAGUGCGAGUAAUAAGUUGAAGCUUGAGUUGAAGAGUUUAUCGCCAAAAAAGCAGUUAAUUUCAAUUCACAUUUAAAAAGGUUCUACGAAAAGAGUUUCGUGCUGCAUUUUACAUUAAAAUGGAGCCCAUAGGAAGCAAAAUAAUAUACCUACUUUAUAUAUUUUAGAAAUUGAUAGUUCUGUACUUAAAAGUGUUCAAGUUUCAUUUAUGUUUUGCAGUUUUGUACUUUUGUACAAACAAAUUGAAAAACAAUUGUGACAUUGUGUUUCCAGGGCUAAUAUGACGUCAGCAACGCGACCCCCCGUUCAGUGUUGGCGUAAUUACGAAUACUUCAUGUUGAAACAAUUGUUAUACACGGAAAUAAUACACUAGAAUUAUAUGCACGAGUGUUGCACGUGAUGAUCACAUGAAGCAUACAAUGAACCAUUGAUGAACAAUGCACAAUAGCAUAAUUUAAUUAACAGGAAACAAUGUGUAUGACACUGUCAGGAAACAGUGAGUGUAUUAGAGUCUUAGUGUCAGAG
rnacentral:lncRNA from 1 species